GACAGAGGGUGCAAACGUUGUUCGGAAUUACUGGGCGUAAAGCGCGUGUAGGCGGUCGUGCAAGUCGGGUGUGAAAGCCCUCGGCUCAACCGGGGAAGUGCACUCGAAACUGCAUGACUAGAGUCUCGGAGAGGAUAGUGGAAUUCUCGGUGUAGAGGUGAAAUUCGUAGAUAUCGAGAGGAACACCGGUGGCGAAGGCGGCUAUCUGGACGAUGACUGACGCUGAGACGCGAAAGCGUGGGGAGCAAACAGG
rnacentral:rRNA from 2 species